GACGAACGCUGGCGGCGUGCUUAACACAUGCAAGUCGAACGAAGUCUUCGGACUUAGUGGCGGACGGGUGAGUAACACGUGGGAACGUGCCUUUAGGUUCGGAAUAACUCAGGGAAACUUGUGCUAAUACCGAAUGUGCCCUUCGGGGGAAAGAUUUAUCGCCUUUAGAGCGGCCCGCGUCUGAUUAGCUAGUUGGUGAGGUAAAGGCUCACCAAGGCUACGAUCAGUAGCUGGUCUGAGAGGAUGACCAGCCACAUUGGGACUGAGACACGGCCCAAACUCCUACGGGAGGCAGCAGUGGGGAAUCUUGCGCAAUGGGCGAAAGCCUGACGCAGCCAUGCCGCGUGGAUGAUGAAGGUCUUAGGAUUGUAAAAUCCUUUCACCGGUGAAGAUAAUGACUGUAGCCGGAGAAGAAGCCCCGGCUAACUUCGUGCCAGCCGCCGCGGUAACAC
rnacentral:rRNA from 1 species